rnacentral:rRNA from 1 species
CGCGCCCCUAGUGGUGGUCGAUAUUAUUGAGCCUAAAACGUCCGUAGCCGGUCUUCUAAAUCCUUGGGUAAAUCGGACAGCUUAACUGUCCGAAUUCCGGGGAGACUGGGAGACUUGGGACCGGGAGAGGUCAGAGGUACUUCUGGGGUAGGGGUAAAAUCCUGUAAUCCUGGAAGGACCACCGGUGGCGAAGGCGUCUGACUAGAACGGAUCCGACGGUGAGGGACGAAGCCCUGGGGCGCAAACGG